GUCGACAGGCUUAACCCAGACCACUUUUUUCAGCUAGCUGACAGUACUACAAGAGGUCAUAGGUUCAAACUUGUAAAGCCAAGAUGCAGAACAAAUGUGAGAAAGCAAGCUUUUAGUCACCGAGUAGUCAAUGAUUGGAACUCUCUCCCAGCUGAGGUAGUUGAAGCUCCCACAGUAGACACCUUCAAAAUCAGGCUAGACCGACACUGGAAAGAUAAGCAUUAUGAUUCCCACUACUCUUAACUGGAUAUGAGAAGUCAAUUUUCACCAACUUGCCCCACUGCCUCCUUAAACUUAUUGAAACUUAUUGAAGCAUGAAGGAAGCUGACAAAAUUAGAAGAUAGACCUGGAAGCUCGACUGCUAAUUCAGCAUUCUUCCAGUAUUUGCGGUAAGGUAAGGUCUUGAAAUAGUAGAAUAAAAAGGAAUCUCUACUUUGAAAGCUUUGUGGGAGGGAUCACCUACCUUUCACUUCACCCACCUAAUGAACACAACAGAGGCACCAAACAUGUGGACUAUGGACUCAUUAGGUUGGCUUUACGAAGGGGUUGACCCCAAGUUUGCUGGGAAUGGCGGACCAGAUUGCAAUAACUUCUUGAGCGUGAAGCAGAGGGUCAUUGAGACGAUCAUCUUUGUAAUUCUAGGUACUCUGGAGUGCUGGUACGCAUGGCAAAGGCUUGGUGUGAAUGACCCACGGUUUGAGGUGGAAGCGAAAGACAAGCGGGAACGAUUUGGAAAGCGUUUUCUCUUGGUUAUCCUGUGUAUGACAUUUGGAGUUGAGAUAGGAUUCAAAUUUGCUACCAAGACGGUUAUAUACCUGCUUAAUCCUUGUCAUAUGCUGACAGUAGUACAAAUUUACCUCCUAGCCGCCCCACCAAGCAAGCUAGUACGGGUCAUAUUCAGAAUGCAGAUGGCUUCAUUAAGUUGCCCUUUACUAGCCCUCCUCUUGCCAGUAGUCAAUACAAGAUUGUUACCCUUUGAAGCAGAAAUCUAUUGGAUACAGCAUUUAUUGAUAUACCUCAUUAUUCCGCCCUACUUACUUAGUUUAGGAGGUGUCUAUAAGACAGAGGGGAUGUGGGACUUUUCUUGGUGUUUUUUCACAGCUGGCUUUCUUCACAAUUAUCAUUUCAUCUGUCUACAAGGGUUAGGUCUGUUGACCGAAGUGAACCUCAACGUGAUGGUUUGCCCGGCUCCGAAUGAUCCUUUCUACGGUCUAUACUACCGAGCGUUCGCGUUCACGCACCAGCAUAUGCUGUUCCCCCUCCAUAUCAAGACGUACACCUACGUGGCAAAGAGCCUUGUAUUACGAGACCAAGAAGAUUGCAACGGUCAUGUGGGGGACAUCAAAAAGAUUGAUUGAGGAUGUAAGUAUGGUCAGUAGGUUUUCGUUGGACUAGAAAGCUAAGUUCUUAUCUACGUGUAUUUCGGCGGAGUCCUUGCAGUUCCUCUUGACUUGAUGAUACAUAGUCUUCUCCAGUUCCUUUGCCUCCAGUUCUGUCUUCUCCUCAAGGGUAUGUGCUUGCUGUUCUUCCCAUAUUUCUUCAUACUUUGAACGGAUGUUCAAACAGUUGGAACAACAGUUCCAAGUAAGGACCGCCCUUUCCUCUGAGGCAGGAGCAAGCCAACUGCAUUUUAACCAUGUCAGGUAGAUUGCUGUUUACAGUAUAAAGAUAAAUACCAGUUGUGGUAACGAUCUCAAAAUGAGUUCAAACAGAAUCCAAUAAAAUUACCACCAAAAUUAUUGUAUACCGGGUAUAUAAAUACAAAAUAUGUGCCAAAUGGCUCAGGAAAAAAAUGUGUAAAUGCUGAGAAAUGAGCAAGAUAAGAAUGGAAUUCUUUAAAUGUUGGGUAUUUUUCCGAACUUAUGUAAAAAUUUGUAUUAACACCCUGUCCCACAUAUGCCUUUUUGUGUUAGUGAUCAUCAUGAUUACGGGUUUUAGCUAAAAUUUUAUGAUUUCACAUAGAUAACUUUAUUUCAAUGAACCAGAACUAGAUCUUUGAUAAUAUGGUGGCAUUUGACCUUAAUUUAAAGAUGUUCUCAUAAAAUAAUUGUUUCGUGCAACUACUUUCUUUUACCUUUAAAUCAGAUAGCUUGUAUUGUGGAACCUGUAUAUAUAUGAAGACCACACAAGGGAGGCAAAAGGGCAGGUGGACUUUAUGAACAGGUUCUUGUCAUGUUUCAAUGGUUGAAACUAUUCCCCAAAAUCCUGACUCGUGAUCUUGAUAGAUCACAUUUCAGUGCCAUUGCCAUGUUUGGUGAACUGCGCAAGUGUCCACACUACGGAUAUGCCACAUUUACUGUUAUACUGUAUGAAAACGAUAUAAUAUUUAUACUUUGUGGUGGUCUCAUCAUCACUUGAGCAUAAAUGUAACUGUUUGAAUAAAAAAAAAAUGUUGUUUGCUGUACUUAUAGUAAGAGCUUUAUAGAGAAUGUUAUGUGCCAUCCAUAUGAUUUUCUUGCUUUAAUCUUGAGAAGAAAGAAUCUUGUCUUUGCAAUCUGUUUACAUACUAUGUAUGUAUGUUUCGUUUAUUUAAAGUACUAUAUUUUUAGGCUGAAAAUAGUAUUGUUACAAGAUAAAGACACUUCCGAGUAUUAUGUUGUAUUAUAUCAUUCACAUGUAGGGAGGGUGGAGCGUCGUGGCCCAGUGGAUUAGUCUCCGGACUUUGAAACAGGGCCGUGGGUUCAAAUCCCAGCCAUGGCGUAGUUUCCUUCAGCAAGGAAUUCAUGCACAGUGUGCUGCACUCGACCCAGGUGAGGUAAAUGGGUACCGGCAGGAAGAAAUUCAUCAAAAAGCUGUGUGCACCUAAAUAGGUAGCCUAGCUUAGCCUGGGUAAUAAUAAUAGCAGGACCCGCUGGUCGAACAGUUUUCGGAACUGAAGUGGCUACCCUGGGUAAAUAUACCAUUAUUAUUAGAAUUUGAGGUUAUUUUCCUGAACAAAUUUUUAUUUCGACAAUACUCGAUAUACAGUAUAACAUAUAAAGCAUGCUGUUUAGCGGUCCAUAAAAUGGGGGGGGGGGAUCUCAUUCGAAGUUAAUAUUUGGAAUAAGAUUUUGUUAAUAUAGUUAAUGGGGAAGCUGUUUUUACCUAACAUCACAAUAUUACUUUGGCGAAAAAGGGGAUUUGGGGUUACACUACAUUUUUGUUUUGUUCAAGGGGGUUUAUGGGUAGUACUGGGGAAAUGGGGUACGGGGCGCUUCUCCCUCGAUCAAUCAAGGGUGAUAGGACAGUUUCGAUAAAAAAAAGAAAAAUUGUGAAAGUUUGUUACUGCCAGUUUGAUGGCAGUGGAAGAUAGAGUAAGAUAGUACACAUGGG